rnacentral:rRNA from 1 species
GGAAUCUUGCGCAAUGGGCGAAAGCCUGACGCAGCAACGCCGCGUGCGGGAAGAAGGCUUUCGGGCUGUAAACCGCUUUCAGCAGGAACGAAAAUGACGGUACCUGCAGAAGAAGGAGCGGCCAACUAUGUGCCAGCAGCCGCGGUGAUACAUAGGCUUCAAGCGUUGUCCGGAUUUAUUGGGCGUAAAGAGUUCGUAGGCGGUCAAGUAAGUCGGGUGUGAAAAUUCUGGGCUCAACCCAGAGACGCCACCCGAUACUGCUUAACUUGAGUUCGAUAGGGGAGUGGGGAAUUCCUAGUGUAGCGGUGAAAUGCGCAGAUAUUAGGAGGAACACCGGUGGCGAAGGCGCCACUCUGGAUCGAUACUGACGCUGAGGAACGAAAGCAUGGGUAGCAAACAGGAUUAGAUACCCUGGUAGUCCAUGCGGUAAACGGUGGGCACUAGGUGUGGGAUUCUAUUAACGAAUUCCGCGCCGUCGCUAACGCAUUAAGUGCCCCGCCUGGGGAGUACGGUCGCAAGACUAAAACUCAAAUGAAUUGACGG